rnacentral:rRNA from 1 species
AGUAGUGCGAAGCCGACAGGUUAUCCGAAGUGGUUUCUGCUAAAGGAACCUUUUGUUAGUCCUAGAAACACUAACGAAUAAGGGGUGGGUAAGGACGGUGCCAGCCGCCGCGGUAAUACCGGCGCCUCAAGUGGUAGUCGAUUUUAUUGGGCCUAAAACGUCCGUAGCCUGUUUGGUACAUUCGUGGGUAAAUCAACCAGCUCAACUGGUUGAAUUCUGCGAGCACGGCCAGACUUGGGACCGGGAGAGGUGUGGGGUACGCUCAGGGUAGGGGUAAAAUCCUGUCAUCCUGAGCGGACCACCUGUUGCGAAGGCGCCGCACUAGAACGGAUCCGACGGUCAGGGACGAAGCCUAGGGGCACGAACCGGAUUAGAUACCCGGGUAGUCCUAGGUGUAAACGCUGUGGACUUGGUGUUGGGGAUUCUCCGAGGAUUCUCAGUGCCGAAGCGAAGGUGAUAAGUCCACUGCCUGGGGAGUACGGUCGCAAGGCUGAAACUUAAAGGAAUUGGCGGGGGAGCAC